GUGGAGGCCCACAGCACCACAGCUCGACAAUACCUGUAGUUUGAACGUGCAUGAAAUCUCGUCCGUCCACGUGGAGACCCUCGAGAGCGUGGGAUUAGGGGUGGGAGGUUGGCUGCAAUUAUAAGCCAGAGUGGCCGUCUCCUUUGAGGAAAGAUUCUCCUUAGUCCGACUGUCGUUUUAGGCUUUUAGGGUUGUCGUAUGAGAUUCUUCUGUAUAUAAAUCGAACGCUGAGAAAUUGACAGCCACCCUCAUUUGGCUGAAGGCUUGGAUUGGAGAAGAGAAAUCCCAUCGGGGCCGCUUGGGGGGCAAGAGAGAGAGCUGUUUGGGAAGUGAGAAAAUUUUACAGCUUUUAGAAAAGAAAAUGGAGAUGUUGAAGGUUCAAUUCUUUGUGGUGGCAGUUUUUGCCCUUGCUAUCUCUCUCCUUCUCCCUUCCAUCAAUGCUCAAAGCCUUGCUCCUGCUCCUGCCCCAACAAGCGAUGGGGUGGCAGUGGAUCAAGGAAUUGCUUAUGGGUUGAUGGUUUUGGCAUUGCUCCUCACCUACAUUAUUCACUGAUGAAUCUGGAUGACCAUUUUUGGAGAAAUCAAGAUGGAUGAUUUUAUAGAGAGAGAGAGAGAGAGAGAGAUUAAUUCUUCAAGAAACAUGUGAAGGGAAUUGUUGUUGCAUCUUCUUCUUGCUAGGCUUUUGCUAGCUAGCUAAGCUAUGUUCUUGUUCGUUUGUUGCUAGGCCUUUUCUUCUCUUAUCCUCUGUUAACAUGAUC